GUGGUUCUCCCCCAGCUGGCCUGGGGGAUUCGGGAAGAGUUAAAGUUAGCAGGAACCUUUGUUCAGGGGAGAAUUACGCCCGGACCCGGAAGUUGUAACAAUAUGGUUUUCCGGUAAAAUGUGCUGAACACAGCAAAAUGUGUUUCGUGACAUGCACAGUAAGCAGAGUUAUAUAACACCGUUAGUGGCCAAUGGAAGAAUAUUUAUGUAUGUGGGAACCAGUGGAGAGUUGACAUGUGUAGCCUAAAAAGUGUAUAAAAGUAGCAGACAUUGUGCAAUAAAGUGUUCCAGCCUCUGGAUCCACAAGGGUUUUGUGUCGUGUCCCGCCUCGACCCACGACAAUUGGAGACCCUGAUGCGAUCAACGGAGGAGUGAAGAGAGGAAGUAGCGAAAAAGAAGAUCUGGACUUUGCCGCCGAGCGAGCCCUGACCGGCGAUCCGCAGAAGACGAAACAGAGACGCAGCACGGCAGACCCGGGGCUUGGGGCCCGCGCCGUUUGCUGCGGCAGCCUCUGCCGCUGCUCUUCUGCUGAACCAAAAGAGGAGAGGUCUCCGCCUUACCUCUGCCUCCGGUUUUGUUACAGAGCAGCCAGGCUUUUUGCAAUCAUCUGCCGCAGUAGCUUAGCUUGCUAACUCGGAGCUGAGGAGAUCGAACUUGGAGUCUGCACUCACUGCUUGCUUUUUGAAAACUCCGCCUCUGCUUUUGCUGCGGCGUCUGCCCCCCCCCUGCUUUCGCCAGCCAAGUCGAGCUGAGGAAUCUGAGCUGAGCUGCGCCUGCUGGCCCGUUGCUAGGAAAAGAACAGACUCUCACAGGUGGCUGGGCCAAACACAGACCAAAAGUAGCAGUGUUUAAUUAAGCCCGAAUACACGGAUGAUGCCCCUUACUUCGCCUUCUGCAUUCCUACUUUAAAUCACACAGACCCCAUGCAGAGAUGUCACUGGGUUGAAUUGCCACAAGGCAUGCUUAACAGUCCAACCAUUUGCCAAACAGUGGUAGUUAAUGCAAUACACCCUGUUUGGAAGCUUUACCCUUCAGCUGUCAUAUACCACUAUAUGGAUGACAUAUUAAUGGCUGCCGCCCAAGAAACUGAGUUGCAAUCAAUAAUGACUUGGCUAACCAAUGCUGUUCAAGAAGCAGGGUUACAGAUUGCUCCUGAAAAGAUCCAAUGAACUCAGCCUUGGGCCUACCUUGGAUGGAAAAUCAAGCAGCAGAUCAUGCAACAGCCCCUGACUCUUAAGUGGGAACAGAUGGAGUCUGACCCUUUGUGAAUUCUGGAAUGAUUGUUUCUGCCUCAUUCUCCACCUAAAACUGCCUGGACUAUUAAUGGCAUGUUUGCCAAGCUUGUUGUUAAAGGUCGAGAAUGGCUACAGGAGAUGGAUGGAUGGGACCCAGAGAUUAUCUACAUCCCAACAACAAAAGACAACUUGAACUGGUUUCUUGCAGAGGACGUUGGAUUUCGGGCUGCGUUGGCAGACUACAAGGAUGACAUUUCCAUUCACUUUCCUAAACAGACUCUGGGCAGAAAUUGGGAAUUUACCUUUAAUGGCUACGCGUCGCUGCCGACCACAACCAGUACCAGGCACAACUGUCUUUACUGACGCAUCUGGAUGAUCAAAAAAGGCUGUGAGGCCACUGGAGCAGUCAAAUACAGACCAUUGACAAAGGUUCUGUAAAGGUGUUAGAAGUUCCUGCUAUUUGCAUAGCCUUUGAAUUAUUUUGUAAUGAGCCUCUGAAUGUCAUUACUGAUUCAUGUUAUGCUGCAGGAUUAGACUCACAUCUCAAAACCUCCUUCCUUCGAGAUGUGACUAAUCCAUACUUCUCAGAAAUACGUACUCUAUGGUUCCUUGUCAAUCAGAGAAAAUCUGACUUUUAUGUAAUGCAUGUCUGUUCCCACACAGAGCUUCCAGGACCCAUAGCGGAGGACAAUCAAAGAGCAGAUGCCACCGCUAUGAUUGCUACUGUUCCCAAAACUCUUGAACAGGCCAAACUCUCUCACCAAUUCUUCCAUCAGAAUGCACACUCUUUAAAGAGGCAAUUCCAACUUACAAUGGAUCAGGCCAGAGAUAUCUUCAUGUCAUGUCCUGACUGCCAACAAUUUACCCCAAUGCCAUCUAAAGAAGGGGUUAAUCCCCGGGGCAUAGCAGCUAAUGAGAUAUGGCAAACUGAUAUUACUCAUAUAGCUGAAUUCGGUCAGCUAAAGUAUGUACACGUCACUGCAGACACACUCUAAGUAUAUUAAUGCCACACCAGGGAAAAGGAAAGAGAAGUCAUCAGACACUGGCUUAACUGCUUCGCAGUUUUGGGAAUCCCAAAAACUAUAAAGACAGAUAAUGGUCCUGCAUAUUGUUCUUCAAAAGUUAAAACAUUUCUCACAGACUGGGGGGUAUCUCACCUUAGAGGAAUACCACACUCACCCACAUGACAAGUGUCCCAGUUUAAAUGAGACAAGGGUCUUUUGCUGAGGAUGGAUUAGGAGGAAAAGACCCAAACUUCUCUUUCCAAGCAAUUAUAAAUCCAAAAUUAAGAGGCUUUGAUUGAAGGAAAACAAAUUAUGGAAAAGGGAAAAUAACAGCCCUUUAUUAAAGGUAUGUGUGUAUUAACAGGAACACGGAAAAAAACCCAAGUAAAAUAACUAAGCAAUACUCCUAUACACACCAAUAAUCCCCUUUAAGAACAAAGAAGAAAAUCAAACAGUUCAAUUUUUUUGCACCCUUUGAUGUAGUUCCAACCACAGUCAGCAGGGGGCACCGUCGGGUCACUGAAGAUGCAAAAACUUGUAGUGUCCUAUUGUAGUCACCAGGUGGCGCUGUUGGAUCACUGGAGGAAGCAGAACUUGUAAUGUCCAGUGCCCAUCACCAGGCGACGCUAUGGAAUCCCUAGUCACCGCCCCGUGGGAUGGGGAAAAAAAAAACAAAACAGUACUCUCCAGGUACAAACCAAAAACCAAAAAAAAAAAACA